UACAGAGGGUGCAAGCGUUGUUCGGAAUUAUUGGGCGUAAAGCGCGUGUAGGCGGCUUUGCAAGUCGGGUGUGAAAGCCCUCGGCUCAACCGAGGAAGUGCGCCCGAAACUGCAGAGCUUGAGUACCGGAGAGGAUGGCGGAAUUCCCCAAGUAGAGGUGAAAUUCGUAGAUAUGGGGAGGAACACCGGUGGCGAAGGCGGCCAUCUGGACGGAUACUGACGCUGAGACGCGAAAGCGUGGGAGCAAACAGG
rnacentral:rRNA from 1 species